UCCUGGCUUAGGACGAACGCUGGCGGCGUGCUUCAUACAUGCAAGUCGAACGAGAAGCUCACUUCGGUGAGUGGAAAGUGGCGGACGGGUGAGUAAUGUGUAGAGAAUCUGCCCUAGAGUGGGGGAUAGCAGUUGGAAACGACUAUUAAUACCCCAUAUGCGCGUAGCUGAGAUGCUAUUCGUGAAAACUCCGGUGCUCUGGGAUGAGUCUGCAUCUGAUUAGCUAGUUGGCGGUGUAAUGGACCACCAAGGCUACGAUCAGUAGCUGGUUUGAGAGGAUGAUCAGCCACAAUGGGACUGAGACACGGCCCAUACUCCUACGGGAGGCAGCAGUAGGGAAUUUUGCGCAAUGGGGGGAAAAACCCCUGACGCAGCAACGCCGCGUGAAUGAAGAAGCCCUUCGGGGUGUAAAGUUCUGUCAGUGGGGACGAAACUUGACGGUACCCACAGAGGAAGCAUCGGCUAACUCCGUGCCAGCCGCCGC
rnacentral:rRNA from 1 species